AGAGUUUGAUCAUGGCUCAGGACGAACGCUGGCGGCGUGCUUAACACAUGCAAGUCUAAGGAGAAAAUCCCUUCGGGGACAAGUACACUGGCGAACGGGUUAGUAACGCGUAGGGAACCUACCCUUAAGCCUGGGAUAACUCGCCGAAAGGCGGACUAAUACCGGAUAAUAUCCUAUCUCAUAAGAGACUAGGAUUAAAGGAGGCUUCGGCUUUCACUUUUGGAUGGGCCUGCGUCUGAUUAGCUUGUUGGUGAGGUAACGGCUCACCAAGGCGAUGAUCAGUAGCUGGUUUGAGAGGACGAUCAGCAACAUUGGGACUGAGAUACGGCCCAGACUCCUACGGGAGGCAGCAGUGGGGAAUUUUGCGCAAUGGGCGAAAGCUUGACGCAGCAACGCCGCGUGAUCGAAGAAGCUCUGCGGAGUGUAAAGAUCUGUCAUAGGGGAAGAAAAAUUUCGUUAUUAACACCAUCGGAACGUGACGGUACCCUAUAAGAAAGCCCCGGCUAACUUCGUGCCAGCAGCCGCGGGUAAUACGAGGGGGGCAAGCGUUGUCCGGAUUUAUUGGGCGUAAAGAGUUCGUAGGCGGGUUAGUAAGUCGAAAUUGAAAAUCCCACGGCUUAACCGUGGUUCCGGGUUUCGAUACUGCUAACCUUGAGUGAGGUAGAGGUAACCGGAAUUCCUG
rnacentral:rRNA from 1 species